rnacentral:rRNA from 1 species
AUGUGCACUCAAUCAUUGAGUGAGUUCUUGGAGCUUGUGGACAGAACGCAACACAUUCAGCUGUUGGACGGUAUUGAAGACAAAUUAGUUUGGGCUUGGGAGAAAAAUGGAUGCUUCUCGGCAAGAUCGGCUUAUCGGGCGUUCUUUGCUAGGAGAGUGGAGGCCACUAGAGCCACGCAAAUCUGGCGGUUGAGGGUGCCGUCGACCUGUAAGUUUUUGGCAUGGCUGGCGGCUAGGGAGAGGUGUUGGACGGCGGACAAGCUUGCGCGACGACAUCUACCACACCCUCCAGCUUGCCCCUUCUGUGAUCAAGCACCGGAAACAAUCAACCACAUCAUGCAUGGCUGCGUCUUUGCUAGGCAAGUGUGGCUCCCCAUCUUCUAUCACUCGGACAAACUAACUUGGCUACCAAGCGUGGAUGCCAAUCUGAUGGAAUGGUGGACCUCCAUAAAUCCACAACCAAAGCUUAGGAAGGAGACAUGGACCGUGAUUGUGAUUGUUGCGUGGAUGUUGUGGAAGCACAAGAUUGAUGUUGUGUUUAAUGGAGCGGCUCCUUCCACGAGUGAAUUUCUCAAGAAGAUCGAUUUAGAAGGGCAAGACUGGAGGGCGGCAGAGCUGCUGCACGAGGUAGGAUCGCUCUAG